rnacentral:sRNA from 17 species
GGGUUACUCCUUGGCGCUUGCGCGCUGUUUUGAUGAAGAUUCGCACCUCUAUCAAAACGGGUAACCCCGCCUCUUGGCAAGGCCUUACUGUCAGAUCAAGUCUGAACUUCUACACGUUAGGCACGCUGGCGCGGCCCGCGGAGAUGCGGAACACCGAUAUCAUGUCCUUCAAGCUAGACGACUGAGAGGACAUCGAUUGCGCAGCCG